rnacentral:rRNA from 1 species
AGGCUUAACACAUGCAAGUCGAGGGGCAGCAUUUCAUUUUGCUUGCAAAGUGAAGAUGGCGACCGGCGCACGGGUGAGUAACACGUAUCCAACCUGCCGAUAACUCGGGGAUAGCCUUUCGAAAGAAAGAUUAAUAUCCGAUAGCAUAUCAAUCCCGCAUGAGAUUGAUAUUAGAGAAUUUCGGUUAUCGAUGGGGAUGCGUUCCAUUAGUUUGUUGGCGGGGUAACGGCCCACCAAGACUACGAUGGAUAGGGGUUCUGAGAGGAAGGUCCCCCACAUUGGAACUGAGACACGGUCCAAACUCCUACGGGAGGCAGCAGUGAGGAAUAUUGGUCAAUGGGCGCAGGCCUGAACCAGCCAAGUAGCGUGAAGGAUGAAGGCUCAAUGGGUCGUAAACUUCUUUUAUAUAAGAAUAAAGUGCAGUAUGUAUACUGUUUUGUAUGUAUUAUAUGAAUAAGGAUCGGCUAACUCCGUGCCAGCAGCCGCGGUAAUACGGAGGAUCCGAGCGUUAUCCGGAUUUAUUGGGUUUAAAGGGAGCGUAGGUGGACUGGUAAGUCAGUUGUGAAAGUUUGCGGCUCAACCGUAAAAUUGCAGUUGAUACUGUCAGUCUUGAGUACAGUAGAGGUGGGCGGAAUUCGUGGUGUAGCGGUGAAAUGCUUAGAUAUCACGAAGAACUCCGAUUGCGAAGGCAGCUCACUGGACUGCAACUGACACUGAUGCUCAAAGGUGUGGGUAUCAAACAGG